GCUAGCGGCAGGCCUAACACAUGCAAGUCGAGGGGUAACAUAAAGUGCUUGCACUUUGAUGACGACCGGCGCACGGGUGAGUAACGCGUAUACAAUCUGCCUCAUACUAGGGGAUAGCCCAGAGAAAUUUGGAUUAAUACCCUAUAGUAUCAUUUAGAGUCAUCUCUUUAUGAUUAAAGGUUACGGUAUGAGAUGAGUAUGCGUUCUAUUAGUUAGUAGGUGAGGUAACGGCUCACCUAGACCACGAUAGAUAGGGGCCCUGAGAGGGGGAUCCCCCACACUGGUACUGAGACACGGACCAGACUCCUACGGGAGGCAGCAGUGAGGAAUAUUAGACAAUGGGCGAAAGCCUGAUCUAGCCAUGCCGCGUGCAGGAUGACGGCCCUAUGGGUUGUAAACUGCUUUUAUACAGGAAGAAAAAACUCUACGUGUAGAGUCUUGACGGUACUGUAAGAAUAAGGAUCGGCUAACUCCGUGCCAGCAGCCGCGGUAAUACGGAGGAUCCAAGCGUUAUCCGGAAUUAUUGGGUUUAAAGGGUCCGUAGGUGGACAAUUAAGUCAGAGGUGAAAUCCUGCAGCUCAACUGUAGAAUUGCCUUUGAAACUGGUUGUCUUGAGUCAUUAUGAAGUGGUUAGAAUGUGUAGUGUAGCGGUGAAAUGCAUAGAUAUUACACAGAAUACCAAUUGCGAAGGCAGAUCACUAAUAAUGUACUGACACUGAUGGACGAAAGCGUGGGUAGCGAACAGGAUUAGAUACCCUGGUAGUCCACGCCGUAAACGAUGGUCACUAGCUGUUCGGACUUCGGUCUGAGUGGCUAAGCGAAAGUGAUAAGUGACCCACCUGGGGAGUACGUCG
rnacentral:rRNA from 1 species